GGGCCCAUUCCUUCAUUUUGGGUUCCUUGUUUUUUAUUCCUGAAUUACAUCAACGAGGAGCUAUCUUGUUCUGCAUUUGCUUGGGAUCCAUGAGAAGCAGCCACCAAGAUGGGAUGAGAAUACAAGACAGACAUUUACUGAGUGCAGUGACAAUGAAGAAAAAAGGGAGAUGCUGGAGGAAGGGAUUUUGACAGCCUGUGAUACAGGUCUUACCGCUGGGAAGGAGGAAGUGGUUGGAUAAGCAGGAUCUUAAAUGGACUGAGAAAGUCUCUGCUUAGACCAGUGAGAAGCAUUGGCAAAAAGCGGAGUCUUGAGAAUCACAGGACAAGGCUUGCCUUGGUUUUCCUAGUACACUCAGACCCUUGCUGGAACCAGGCUGUUGGAAGCAUGGCCUCGGCGUGAUCAAAAGUAGUGGCAGAAUCAGGGCAAAACAAUUAGACCACCCAUUAAUUACACUCCCCUACGGCAGAUCUGAGUGGCGCAAUGUCAUGGCUAUCACAGAUCCCUUGCUCAAUGGUAUAUAAGCUACUGUUUAACCCUGACAAUUUCAAGGACACUUUAUUUCAUUUCUAGAAAUUUCAUUUUAUUCUUUCUGAAAUCUUUUGUCUUCAUAUCUUGGUUUUCUGUAUGAAUUCCAUUCCUUUGCUAAUACCUUUACUUAUUAAGGGCAUCAUUACCUUGCUCUCUCUUUUAGACUGCUUUAUUAUCUCAACUUCUUGGGGUGUUGCUCUUCUGCUUACUCUGCUUACUGAUUUUUACUCAGGGUGUAUCAUUUCUUUAUGUUUUCAAAUGCUUAUUGUGAGCUCAUCUUUAGUAGGGAUUAUUUUAUUGUUGAUAAUCCUAAGAGGUCUGGGUUGUAGAAAUGACACCCCUGAAUAGUAUUAAUUUUUUACAAUAUCUGAUACUGUAGGGGUAUCACUGGCCUCACAGUGAUUUCAUAUCAAAUUUUCACCUUGAGGGCAGCCCCAGUGGCGCAGCGGUUUAGCGCCACCUGCAGCCAGGUUGUGAUCCUGGAGACUGGGGAUCGAGUCCCAUAUCAGGCUUCUUGAAUGGAGCCUGCCUCUCCCUCUGCCUGUGUCUCUGCCUCUCUCUCUCUCUCUCUCGUGUCUCUCAUGAAUAAAUAAAUAAAAUCUUAAAAAAAAAAUUUUUUUUCACCUUGAAGAUUAUUUUACCAAGGCAGUUAUUUUCUGGAGACUUUUUUCCUGAGCAUUGCUCAGGGCAUUCUUUACCAUCAUUGGUCCUGAAGAUGUGUUUUUUCUAGCUUUCUUUCAUGGUGGAGCAGCCCUUGCUAACUUCAGGCAGAAUUCCAGCUCUUAUUUUAUGGGAGGCCAAGGCUUUGACUUCUGUUUUUGUGUUGUCAUUAAGUCUUGAGCUUCAAGGUGUCUAAAACCUAAUUGUGGGUCUGAUAUUGCACCUGUUGACCACAGCAGUAUCUAUCUCUACUGGCCCUUUGCCUUUCAAGCUACUCUUUUAUUUUGACACCAGGAUUACCCCUUCCCUCCCCAGUUUUUUUUUCCUUUUGCAACAUCAGUCAUAUAUUUACAUUAUUUUUAAAAAACUUUUUCUCCCCAAAUCUUCAGAUGUUUGUGGUAGAAAACAUUCUAUGUUAGCUCUGCCUGCCAUGCUUUGGGAACUGGAGAAAUCGUUCUUUGAUUAUUCCUUCUAUCUGGAAUGGUCUUUUGCAUCUUUUAUUUAUAAUUCUAUGUUCUAUUCAUCCUUGGGUCUUGCUUCCCACACCCUACUCCUUCAGCCAGAAAUAACCCCUCUCUCCUCUGAACAACAAUACUACAGCAUUUAAUAUCUGCCUUAUGUCAUAGCAGGGCCCUGUUCAAUAAUAAUUUUUGGAUUACCUACAAUUUUGAGGAAAAGGGCAUGUAUCCACAAACAUGUAAUACAGUAUUAUCUAUAAAAUACAGCGUAGUGGGAAAAAAUGCUA